AGAGUUUGAUCAUGGCUCAGGACGAACGCUGGCGGCGUGCUUAACACAUGCAAGUCACGGGGGCUCGCAAGAGCAACCGGCGAACGGGUGCGUAACACGUGAGCAAUCUGCCGAUUUCUGGGGGAUAGCCGGCCCAACGGCCGGGUAAUACCGCAUACGCUGAUGGGGUGGAGUCACUUUAUCAGGAAACCUCCGGGGGAAAUCGAGGAGCUCGCGGCCUAUCAGCUAGUUGGCGGGGUCAAGGCCCACCAAGGCGACGACGGGUAGCUGGUCUGAGAGGAUGGCCAGCCACAUUGGGACUGAGAGACGGCCCAGACUCCUACGGGAGGCAGCAGUGGGGAAUCUUGCGCAAUGGCCGAAAGGCUGACGCAGCGACGCCGCGUGUGGGAUGACGCCUUUCGGGGUGUAAACCACUGUUGCCCGGGACGAACAGCUUCUUUCGAGGAGCCUGACGGUACCGGGUGAGGAAGCACCGGCUAACUCCGUGCCAGCAGCCGCGGUAAUACGGAGGGUGCGAGCGUUGUCCGGAAUCACUGGGCGUAAAGGGCGCGUAGGCGGCCUGGCAAGUCGAUGGUGAAAGCCCGAGGCUCAACUUCGGGUCGGCCACUGAUACUGCUAGGCUUGAGUCGACUAGAGGCAGAUGGAAUUCCGGGUGUAGCGGUGGAAUGCAGAGAUCCGGAAGAACACCGGUGGCGAAGGCGGUCUGCUGGGGUCGAACUGACGCUGAGGCGCGACAGCGUGGGGAGAAACAGGAUUAGAUACCCNNGUAGUCC
rnacentral:rRNA from 1 species